GUUAUAUUGAUCAAAAUGGAAAGAACACUGGAAAGAAUAACAAUAGAUUGGAACAAUUGUGCAGAGACAAAUAUCCUUCUCAGUCACUGGCUUUGUAAUCAGCUUGUUUCAGAAAGCUGAUGAAGAGUGUCCACCAGCCCAAGUACCAGUAAAUUAUCUGGGGAAUACAGGUCUGGCAGCCUGACCUCAGUGCCAGGUAUUCUGACACCUCAAACCAGACACAAGGAGACAGAACAGUAAAUUCACAUUGCAGAGGACUUUGAAAAUCAGCAAUUUUGUUUAAAUUGCAAACUGCAGUAAAACAUAAUUGCUAAGCUAUCCACAGAACAGAAACGUGAAAAAUGUUGGCUUGCUGAUUUCAACAGACUAAGUGCAGGCUUCCAGUUUCACAAUCUUCUGGGUUUGCCAUGGAACCUAAGGCAUGUUUGCUUCCUUUUUGCCCAUGUAUUGGGAUACUCGAGGGACAAGACAUGGGGGGAGAAGGCGUAUGUGAGUCUCCUACAAAAAAUCCUGGAGUCUCCUUCUCAAGAGUGCUGCCAAUAUCUAGAAGAAUCUUGGUAUUCCUAGAAAUACUAAGAAAAUUCCUGGAAAAAAAAAAAGCUUAUUAGGGCUGUCAGGAGGCCAAGAUACCAGAAGCAG
ensembl:lncRNA